CGCUUCUCCAUGGCCCGGGGGUCGUCACUCAGCCGAGAGCCUCGUCCUCAGCGGGGCUCCGCCGCGAAGCCUCGCACUCCUGAGGGGGCUGCGGUCUCAGCGGCCGGGACUGAGGCCCAGCGCCCCUCCAGCCGCCUCAGCCACGCGGGUCCGGGGAAGCGCGGCCGAGCGCGGCCGGGGGCGCAGCUUACGGCGGGACGACCGAGGCGAUGCAGGCGGACGGGCUCGGCGAAGCCUCGGGCGCCGCCGCGGUGGCCGCUUCAGCCGCCCGCGCCGCUGGGCCACAGCGCCCCCUGGACCCCACGUCCCGCUACGGCGCCGGGACUGCGGCGGCCGCACCGGGCACGAGCGGCAGGGAACGCGAGGCAGCGCGGCCUGGGGGUGGCGGGGCCCCGUGCGCCCUGCGCCGCCCGCGGCCGUGGCCCGCCCCUGACGCGGCUUCCCGGGAGCCGGAAGCUGUCGGCUCCCCCCACACCCCACCCCCGUCAGACCCCAGCACCUUUUUCUUCCCUCCAGAAGGUAUGUGAAUGCUUUCGUCACUCGUCUCCGAGAGCGGGAAUGUGAGGGAAUCUCGGUUCAUUUCUUGUGGAGACAGGGGGUCCCUUUUAAUUCCCUCAGUGCGUCAGUAUGAAAGGAGAGUGACCCAGAACAAAUCCCUUUUUUCUUUUCCUAAGCACAUGCACAAUCCCUUCCCAAAGCAGAUAAAGGAAUCCUCUUUGACCUCAACUUUUUUGGAGCUACUGUGCAGAUUCACUACAGAAAUGUGCUAUAGAAUCCCUUUAACCCCUAUCCUUACCUACAAAACAGGGGGGAGAAAACAAAAAAGCAAACAAACAAAACAAAACAAAAUUUAAAAAACGCUGACAAAGAGAAGAGAAAAACCAACGGGUUGUCCUGAAACUGAUAAACAACUUAAAGGUAAGAAAAGACUCAUCCUUUUACCUAACUUAACCCCGGCCACCACCUCUACCACCUCUGUGUCACCCACCCCUUAUCAAAUCCUAGAUAAAAACUCUGAAAGAAGGAAAUUGUUGUGGUUAUAUUAAAGGCUAUGCAGUCAUUUUGUUUACAAAUGCCUCCUGUUUGAUCUUGCCCAGCCUCUAGAACGCUAACAUAACGUCACAACUAAAAACUAAAGACUGUCAGAAGGGAAAUAGGGAAAAAAAAAUUUUUUUUAAUCCCCUGGACCCUCAAAUUCCCAAAUACUGUGUUUGUUUGUUUGGUUGGUUGGUUGGUUUUGUUUUCUGGGUGCUAUACUGGAACAAGCAAGGACUUUGGUGUCAGGCAGAUCCUGAUGCCCCUGGUUCCAGUUACAUCCUGUAGAGUUUUAUGACCCUGGCAAGUUAUGUAAUAUUUUUGAACCUCUGUUUUCUCCUGCCUGCCUAGCUGGUUGUGAAGGUUGGGCCUACAGUUCCAAUUUUUGUUAAUUCCAGAACACCCUAACACUUACUCAUUCUUAAUCUGGAGAUUGUACCCAUCUGUGUGUGUUUAUCCCACCACACUCCCCCACCCCGUGUGUGUGUGUGUGUGUGUGUGUGUGUGUGUGUGUGUGUGUUCCUAUCAAAAGGUCAUUCUCAUCAUCCUGGUCUAGGUGAAAUUUCCCUGAAUUUCACUCGUGCAUUUAUGUAACAUCCUCCUCUGAAGAGGAGAACCUAGUACACUGGAUCCUUUGACAUUCUACAGCACAGCAGAUAUCAAAAUAGAACCAGCACAUUUUUCCUGCAUGAAAAUAUUAUAAGCAAUCUUGCCUUACCUUAGAUUAUGGGAUAAUAGUAACAAGACAUGGGGAAAUUACAUAAGGAGUCCGGGAACUGUUCAAGUAAUAAUUGAGCAGCCACCCAGAGAAAAAUAUAACCUAGCAGUUCUUUUCUCAUCAAUGAAAGCUGUUCCUGUACAGUCCCAAGUCUGCCUUUGCCACAGAUCUCUGAGUCACACACACACACACACACACACACACACCACUAUCCCCUUUUUUUGUAACGACAGAAACCAGCUCGGGAGGAAAUGGUGAUUCAUUCUCACAACAUCUCUAAGAAUUCAGUACUUCAGUACCACCACCAAAGGGCAUCCAACCUAGAGAAAAGCUGCAAGGAGACCCUAUAACCUAGGGUCUCCUGUCUGAUAGCAGUCUUUUCUAGAGUAACAAGAGAACACUGUUAGAGUGAGUUGCUAUUGAUACCAUUUGUGCUUUAGCAUGGGCCCUUUAAUUUCAAUCAGUUUGGCUCCCUGACAUGACAUUGGCACUGUCCUUUCCAACCCAAGCUCACUGCCACUGCAGAAAACCUACAUUUGUUUGUGAAUAAUCAGGACGUCUAGGGUGUAGCUACAGCAUGAAGAUGAUUCAUUUGUUCCCAGGACCAGUUUCUUCUUGCCUCACACUUUCUUCCCUUCUAUUCAAACUCUUGCUGAGGGAGACUGCUUGAUAGUAACCUGCUUAAAAUCGUUCUGUCAUAUGCUGGCCAGAUGGCUCAGUGGGUAAAGGGCCAAGCCUAGUGAUCUGAGUUUUUUCUCUGGAACCCCAUGAUAGAAGGAGAGAACCAACUACCCAGGAGGCAUGCAUGCACCCACAGUAGGUCUCCUAUUGUCCGCUCCCAUUUCAUCCACAACUGUUUCCCCUCCUGCUUCCUCAUCUAACUCUCAGCUCCUGACCUAUCUCUCACCUGCCUCCUUUCUUCUGCCUAAGAUCUCUUUCUGUUUCAAGCCACUUCAACUUGCUGUCAGUUGUCUUGAUUCUGCCACUUUCUGUUUGCAUUGAUUUCCACCACUCUCCGAUGACUUUAAAGUAUAGCU